rnacentral:rRNA from 1 species
GAGUUUGAUCCUGGCUCAGGACGAACGCUGGCGGCGUGCUUAACACAUGCAAGUCGGACGGUUGGCACUGGAAGGUUCGCUGGAAGGUGCUGAUAGUGGCGGACGGGUGAGUAACGCGUGAGGACAUGUCUGCAGGAGGGGGAUAACGUUUGGAAACGGACGCUAAGACCCCGUAAGCCGGGAGGUGAAAGUGGCGAAAGCCAGCCUGUGGAGUGACUCGCGUCCUAUCAGCUAGUUGGCGGGGUGAAGGCCCACCAAGGCGAUGACGGGUAGCCGACCUGAGAGGGUGGCCGGCCACACUGGAACUGAGAUACGGUCCAGACUCCUACGGGAGGCAGCAGUGGGGAAUAUUGGGCAAUGGGCGGAAGCCUGACCCAGCGACGCCGCGUGGGGGAAGAAGUCUUUCGGGAUGUAAACCCUUGUUGUACGGGACGAAGGAAGUGACGGUACCGUACGAGGAAGCCCCGGCAAACUACGUGCCAGUAGCCGCGGUAAUACGUAGGGGGCGAGCGUUGUCCGGAAUCACUGGGCGUAAAGCGCUCGUAGGCGGGCUGUCAAGUCGGCCGUGAAAGGCAUGGGCUCAACCUGUGCAUGUCGGUCGAUACUGGCGGUCUGGAGUAUGGGAGAGGGAACUGGAAUUCCCGGUGUAGCGGUGAAAUGCGUAGAUAUCGGGAGGAACACCAGUGGCGAAGGCGGGUUCCUGGCCCAUGACUGACGCUGAGGUGCGAAAGUCGGGGGAGCGAACGGGAUUAGAUACCCCGGUAGUCCCGGCUGUAAACGAUGGAUGCUAGGUGUGGGGGGGUUACCUUCUGUGCCGCAGCUAACGCGAUAAGCAUCCCGCCUGGGGAGUACGAUCGCAAGAUUGAAACUUAAAGGAAUUGACGG